CCUACGGUGUGCAGCAGUGAGGAAUAUUGGUCAAUGGGCGCGAGCCUGAACCAGCCAAGUAGCGUGAAGGAUGACUGCCCUACGGGUUGUAAACUUCUUUUAUAAAGGAAUAAAGUGAGGCACGUGUGCCUUUUUGUAUGUACUUUAUGAAUAAGGAUCGGCUAACUCAGUGCCAGCAGCCGCGGUAAUACGGAGGAUCCGAGCGUUAUCCGGAUUUAUUGGGUUUAAAGGGAGCGUAGAUGGGUUGGUAAGUCAGUUGUGAAAGUUUUCUGCUCAAACGUAAAAUUGCAAUUGAUACUGGCAGCCUUGAGGACAGUUGAGGCAGGCGGAAUUCGUGGUGUAGCGGUGACAUGCUUAGAUAUCACGAAGAACUCCGAUUGCGAAGGCAGCUUACUAAACUGCCACUGACAUUGAUGCUCGAAAGUGUGGGUAUCAAACAGGAGUAGAUACCCCGGUAGUC
rnacentral:rRNA from 1 species